UGCUCAGGACGAACGCUGGCGGCGUGCCUAAUACAUGCAAGUCGAACGAACUCUGGUAUUGAUUGGUGCUUGCAUCAUGAUUUACAUUUGAGUGAGUGGCGAACUGGUGAGUAACACGUGGGAAACCUGCCCAGAAGCGGGGGAUAACACCUGGAAACAGAUGCUAAUACCGCAUAACAACUUGGACCGCAUGGUCCGAGCUUGAAAGAUGGCUUCGGCUAUCACUUUUGGAUGGUCCCGCGGCGUAUUAGCUAGAUGGUGGGGUAACGGCUCACCAUGGCAAUGAUACGUAGCCGACCUGAGAGGGCAAUCGGCCACAUUGGGACUGAGACACGGCCCAAACUCCUACGGGAGGCAGCAGUAGGGAAUCUUCCACAAUGGACGAAAGUCUGAUGGAGCAACGCCGCGUGAGUGAAGAAGGGUUUCGGCUCGUAAAACUCUGUUGUUAAAGAAGAACAUAUCUGAGAGUAACUGUUCAGGUAUUGACGGUAUUUAACCAGAAAGCCACGGCUAACUACGUGCCAGCAGCCGCGGUAAUACGUAGGUGGCAAGCGUUGUCCGGAUUUAUUGGGCGUAAAGCGAGCGCAGGCGGUUUUUUAAGUCUGAUGUGAAAGCCUUCGGCUCAACCGAAGAAGUGCAUCGGAAACUGGGAAACUUGAGUGCAGAAGAGGACAGUGGAACUCCAUGUGUAGCGGUGAAAUGCGUAGAUAUAUGGAAGAACACCAGUGGCGAAGGCGGCUGUCUGGUCUGUAACUGACGCUGAGGCUCGAAAGUAUGGGUAGCAAACAGGAUUAGAUACCCUGGUAGUCCAUACCGUAAACGAUGAAUGCUAAGUGUUGGAGGGUUUCCGCCCUUCAGUGCUGCAGCUAACGCAUAA
rnacentral:rRNA from 1 species